GAAGGGAUGCAGUUCAGUGGGUGAGCACCUGCCUUGCAUCCAGGAGGUCCCAGGUACAAUCCCAGGCUUCUUCA